rnacentral:rRNA from 1 species
GAUGAACGCUAGCGGCAGGCUUAACACAUGCAAGUCGAGGGGUAUGGUUCUUCGGAACCAGAGACCGGCGCACGGGUGCGUAACGCGUAUGCAAUCUACCCUUUACAGAGGGAUAGCCCAGAGAAAUUUGGAUUAAUACCUCAUAGUAUAACAUGACCGCAUGGUCGAGUUAUUAAAGUCACAACGGUAAAAGAUGAGCA